rnacentral:tRNA from 1 species
AUUUCUAUAGUUUAGGAAAAACAUAAUUUUGAAAGGAUUAAGAGAAGUAAUUUAGAAAUA